rnacentral:tRNA from 1 species
GCCUGGGUGGCUCAGUCGGUUGAGCGUCCGACUUCGGCUCAGGUCAUGAUCUUGCGGUCCGUGGGUUCGAGCCCCGCAUCGGGCU